rnacentral:rRNA from 4 species
CAACGCGACCCCAGGUCAGGCGGGGCCACCCGCUGAGUUU